AAGUAACGGAGGAGUUUACUAAGGUCGGCUUAGCCCGGAUGGAAAUCGGGCAGGACGUGCAAACGCAAAAGCCGGCUUAACUGCAAGGCCUACAAGCCGCGCAGACGCGAAAGCGGAAGUUAGUGACCCGACGGCUAUGUCUUUUAUGUAUUUAUAUGUAAAAGACUCUUUAUAGAACGGCCGGAGACACCGGAUAAAAGCUACUCCGGGGAUAACAGGCUGGUGAAGUCCGAGAGUUCCUAUCGACGACUUCGCUCGGCACCUCGAUGUCGGCUCGCCACAGCGCGGGGGUGUAGAAGCUCCCAAGCGUUUGGCUGUUCGCCAAUUAAAGUGGCACGCGAGCUGGGUUCAGACCGUCAACCAAGAACCCUUAACGAGCAUCGAACACGGCGGCUUUCCGCAGUGAUGCGGAUCGAAC
rnacentral:rRNA from 1 species